rnacentral:rRNA from 1 species
UACGUAGGGUGCAAGCGUUGUCCGGAAUUAUUGGGCGUAAAGGGCUCGUAGGCGGUCCAUCGCGUCGGGAGUGAAAAGCUGGGGCUCAACCCCAGUCCUGCUUCCGAUACGGGUGGACUAGAGGUAGGCAGGGGAGACUGGAAUUCCUGGUGUAGCGGUGAAAUGCGCAGAUAUCAGGAGGAACACCGGUGGCGAAGGCGGUUACCUGGAGCUUUGCUGACGCUGAUGCGCGAAAGCGUGGGGAGCGAUCCGG